rnacentral:rRNA from 1 species
UACGAAGGGUGCGAGCGUUGUCCGGAAUUAUUGGGCGUAAAGAGCUCGUAGGCGGUGUGUUACGUCGGCCGUGAAAACCUGCAGCUUAACUGUGGGCGUGCGGUCGAUACGGGCAUCACUGGAGUUCGGCAGGGGAGACUGGAAUUCCUGGUGUAGCGGUGAAAUGCGCAGAUAUCUGGAGGAAUACCGGUGGCGAAGGCGGCAUCCUGGACCGGCAUUGACGCUGAGGAGCGAAAGCUAGGGGAGCAAACGGG